rnacentral:misc_RNA from 1 species
UGUGGGAGCGGGCUUGCUCGCGAAUACGGUGUGUCAGUAUCAGAUAGGCUGACUGAUACACCGCUUUCGCGAGCAAGCCCGCUCCCACA